GACGGGGCCGCACAAGCGGAGGAGCAUGUGGUUUAAUUCGAUGAUACGCGAGGAACUUACCUGGGCUCGAACGUAAGAUGACUGUAGGUGAAAGCUUACAUCUCUUCGGAGCAUUUUACGAGGUGCUGCAUGGUUGUCGUCAGCUCGUGCCGUGAGGUGUCGGGUUAAGUCCCAUAACGAGCGCAACCCCUACCUUUAGUUGCCAUCAGGUUAAGCUGGGGACUCUAAAGGAACUGCCUACGCAAGUAGUGAGGAAGGCGGGGAUGACGUCAAAUCAGCACGGCCCUUACGUCCAGGGCUACACACGUGCUACAAUGGCCGAUACAGAGGGCAGCUACCUGGUGACAGGAUGCAAAUCUCCAAAGUCGGUCUCAGUUCGGAUCGGAGUCUGCAACCCGACUCCGUGAAGUUGGAUUCGCUAGUAAUCGCGCAUCAGCCAUGGCGCGGUGAAUACGUUCCCGGGCCUU
rnacentral:rRNA from 1 species